GCCGGGCGCGGUGGCUCAAGCCUGUAAUCCCAGCACUUUGGGAGGCCGAGACGGGCGGAUCACGAGGUCAGGAGAUCGAGACCAUCCUGGCUAACACGGUGAAACCCCGUCUCUACUAAAAAAUANNNNNNNNNNUAUUUUUUAGUAGAGACGGGGUUUCACCGUGUUAGCCAGGAUGGUCUCGAUCUCCUGCCCUCGUGAUUCGCCCAUCUCGG
rnacentral:SRP_RNA from 1 species